AAACUUUUAGGUUUUUGCUUCAUACGUGAUUGAUGCAUUGAUGUCCUUAUGCACUGACAUGAAUGCAAAUCAUAAAGCCAUUUUGGCUAGAAUAAAUCACAUUACUUAUGUACAUGAUGACGAUUCUCGUCGUUAUGAGAGUAUCUAUAGGGAAAUGUGUGAUGUUUUUUAUUCUCAAUACCACAGUGAUGUAAAUGGUUGGAAAAAGGGUGCACCAGAGAGGACGUAGGAGAAGAUAGAUUGGUGUUUAAAAGAUGUGUUGUGAGAUUG
rnacentral:lncRNA from 1 species